UGUGCCUCCUUACUGCUUUAGAAAGGUCAAAGCGGACUUCACAGUACAGCUUCCUAGAGCUGGACCAAGACUGCUGAUAAGUAUAUAGAUGUAUCAACAGGUCCCAGGUGAAUUUUUGGCAUUAUUGAGCUGCAAAGCAAAGAUGGAGAGCACAGGAAGAUAAAACUAAGUGUAACGAAGGCUAAGUGGGGAAGCCUUACUUCACACUCCAGCUGAAGUCAUCCUGUCCUGCACUGUAAUGUGGUAAUCAAAUGGAGUCUGAGGUUACGUUUGGUCUUCUCCACCCAGCAAUACUGAGAAUCGCCGCACCAGUCAGAAUGUCACACAGUUUUGAUGACCCUGCUGCAGCCGCUGUCUUUACACAACAAUAUCCCUAAGCAAUUAACUUUCCAGAACAGACUUAUCUUCUUGUUUUGUUUGUGUUUUUUGUCAUGCGUACCUGCCAAAGACAAACCUAUUCAGAUUUCUUUUGUACUGGACCCAUAUGGUUCAGUCUCAACACUAUC